CAACAGUUGGAAACGACUGCUAAUACCGCAUAAGCCCACGACCCGGCAUCGGGUAGAGGGAAAAGGAGCAAUCCGCUUUGAGAUGGCCUCGCGUCCGAUUAGCUAGUUGGUGAGGUAACGGCCCACCAAGGCAACGAUCGGUAGCCGGACUGAGAGGUUGAACGGCCACAUUGGGACUGAGACACGGCCCAGACUCCUACGGGAGGCAGCAGUGGGGAAUAUUGCACAAUGGGGGAAACCCUGAUGCAGCGACGCCGCGUGGAGGAAGAAGGUCUUCGGAUUGUAAACUCCUGUUGUUGAGGAAGAUAAUGACGGUACUCAACAAGGAAGUGACGGCUAACUACGUGCCAGCAGCCGCGGUAAAACGUAGGUCACAAGCGUUGUCCGGAAUUACUGGGUGUAAAGGGAGCGCAGGCGGGAAGACAAGUUGGAAGUGAAAUCCAUGGGCUCAACCCAUGAACUGCUUUCAAAACUGUUUUUCUUGAGUAGUGCAGAGGUAGGCGGAAUUCCCGGUGUAGCGGUGGAAUGCGUAGAUAUCGGGAGGAACACCAGUGGCGAAGGCGGCCUACUGGGCACCAACUGACGCUGAGGCUCGAAAGUGUGGGUAGCAAACAGGAUUAGAUACCCUGGUAGUCCACACCGU
rnacentral:rRNA from 1 species